CCAGAGGGCCGGGCGGCCGCGGCGGAGACUAUUCUCCGGCGAGGAAAGUCCGGGCUCCACGGAACUGCGGUGCCGGGUAACGCCCGGCGGAGGGUCGCUAGCUUCGGCGAGGAUUCUUCAGGGACAGUGCCACAGAAAGGACACCGCCCGCCUUCGGACGGGUAAGGUCGAAAGGGUGCGGCAAGAGCGCACCGCGGGCCUGGCAACAGGUCCGGCACGGUAAACCCCACCGGGUGCAAGACCGAAUAGGGGCGGCAUAUGGGCCUUGUUCCGGCUCGCCGCCCGGGUUGGUUGCUGGAGGGGCGGGGUAACUCGCCUCCUAGAGGAAUGGCCGCACAGUCUCGCCCAAAAGGCGCGAUGGACAGAACCCGGCUUACAGGUCCUCUGGCAUC
rnacentral:RNase_P_RNA from 1 species